UACGAAGGGGGCGAGCGUUGUUCGGAUUUACUGGGCGUAAAGGGCGCGCAGGCGGCUCAUUUUGUCAGGCGUGAAAGCCCCGGGCUUAACCUGGGAGGUGCGUUUGAUACGGAUGGGCUAGAGUUCGGGAGAGGAGAGUGGAAUUCCCAGUGUAGAGGUGAAAUUCGUAGAUAUUGGGAAGAACACCGGUGGCGAAGGCGGCUCUCUGGACCGAGACUGACGCUGAGGCGCGAAAGCGUGGGGAGCAAACAGA
rnacentral:rRNA from 1 species